UACGAACUGUGCAAACGUUAUUCGGAAUCACUGGGCGUAAAGCGCACGUAGGCGGAUUGCUAAGUCAGGGGUGAAAUCCUGGAGCUCAACUCCAGAACUGCCCUUGAUACUGGCGGUCUCGAGUCCGGGAGAGGUGAGUGGAACUGCGAGUGUAGAGGUGAAAUUCGUAGAUAUUCGCAAGAACACCAGUGGCGAAGGCGGCUCACUGGCCCGGUACUGACGCUGAGGUGCGAAAGCGUGGGGAGCAAACAGG
rnacentral:rRNA from 1 species